UACCAGCACCCCGAGUGGUCGGGACGAUUAUUGGACCUAAAGCAUCCGUAGCCGGUUCUACAAGUCUUCCGUUAAAUCCACCUGCUUAACAGAUGGGCUGCGGAGGAUACUAUAGAGCUAGGAGGCGGGAGAGGCAAGCGGUACUUAGUGGGUAGGGGUAAAAUCCGUUGAUCCAUUGAAGACCACCAGUGGCGAAGGCGGCUUGCCAGAACGCACUCGACGGUGAGGGAUGAAAGCUGGGGGGAGCAAACCGG
rnacentral:rRNA from 1 species